rnacentral:rRNA from 1 species
AACGAACGCUGGCGGCAUGCCUAACACAUGCAAGUCGAACGAUGCUUUCGGGCAUAGUGGCGCACGGGUGCGUAACGCGUGGGAAUCUGCCCUUGGGUCUGGGAUAACAGUUGGAAACGACUGCUAAUACCGGAUGAUAUCGCGAGAUCAAAGAUUUAUCGCCCGAGGAUGAGCCCGCGUAGGAUUAGCUAGUUGGUGGGGUAAAGGCCUACCAAGGCGACGAUCCUUAGCUGGUCUGAGAGGAUGAUCAGCCACACUGGGACUGAGACACGGCCCAGACUCAUACGGGAGGCAGCAGUGGGGAAUAUUGGACAAUGGGCGAAAGCCUGAUCCAGCAAUGCCGCGUGAGUGAUGAAGGCCUUAGGGUUGUAAAGCUCUUUUACCCGGGAUGAUAAUGACAGUACCGGGAGAAUAAGCCCCGGCUAACUCCGUGCCAGCCGCCGCAGUAAUAC